rnacentral:rRNA from 1 species
UGAAAAGCACCCCGGAAGGGGAUUGAAAAAGAACCUGAAACCGUGUGAUUACAAGUAGUCAGAGCCCGUUAAUGGGUGAUGGCGUGCCUUUUGUAGAAUGAACCGGCGAGAUACGAUUUGAUGCAAGGUUAAGCAGUAAAUGUGGAGCCGUAGCGAAAGCGAGUCUGACUAGGGCGUUUAGUAUUUGGUCGUAGACCCGAAACCAGGUGAUCUACCCUUGGUCAGGUUGAAG